rnacentral:rRNA from 1 species
AGUGAACGCUGGCGGUAGGCCUAACACAUGCAAGUCGAACGGCAGCACAGUAAGAGCUUGCUCUUACGGGUGGCGAGUGGCGGACGGGUGAGGAAUACAUCGGAAUCUACUUUUUCGUGGGGGAUAACGUAGGGAAACUUACGCUAAUACCACAUACGACCUACGGGUGAAAGCAGGGGAUCUUCGGUCCUUGCGCGAUUGAAUGAGCCGAUGUCGGAUUAGCUAGUUGGCGGGGUAAAGGCCCACCAAGGCGACGAUCCGUAGCUGGUCUGAGAGGAUGAUCAGCCACACUGGAACUGAGACACGGUCCAGACUCCUACGGGAGGCAGCAGUGGGGAAUAUUGGACAAUGGGCGCAAGCCUGAUCCAGCCAUACCGCGUGGGUGAAGAAGGCCUUCGGGUUGUAAAGCCCUUUUGUUGGGAAAGAAAAGCAGCAGGUUAAUACCCCGCUGUUCUGACGGUACCCAAAGAAUAAGCACCGGCUAACUUCGUG